AAUAGAUACCCUGGUAGUCCACGCCGUAAACGAUGUCGACUUGGGGGUUGUUCCCUUGAGGAGUGGCGUUCCGGAGCUAACGCGUUAAGUCGACCGCCUGGGGAGUACGGCCGCAAGGUUAAAACUCAAAUGAAUUGACGGGGGGCCCGCACAAGCGGUGGAGCAUGUGGUUUAAUUCGAUGCAACGCGAAGAACCUUACCUACUCUUGACAUCCAGAGAACUUAGCAGAGAUGCUUUGGUGCCUUCGGGAACUCUGAGACAGGUGCUGCAUGGCUGUCGUCAGCUCGUGUUGUGAAAUGUUGGGUUAAGUCCCGCAACGAGCGCAACCCUUAUCCUUUGUUGCCAGCGGUUCGGCCGGGAACUCAAAGGAGACUGCCAGUGAUAAACUGGAGGAAGGUGGGGAUGACGUCAAGUCAUCAUGGCCCUUACGAGUAGGGCUACACACGUGCUACAAUGGCGUAUACAAAGAGAAGCGACCUCGCGAGAGCAAGCGGACCUCAUAAAAGUACGUCGUAGUCCGGAUUGGAGU
rnacentral:rRNA from 1 species